UGGGCUUUCAUGGGUCGAGCAAAACCUUUUACUAUUCAACUUGCAAUGGAGGAAGAUUCUCUUUUAAGUAAACCUUCUGUUCUGGAUACAAAACAAUCACUGGCAGUGUUCAAUGUAUUGAGUUCACUCGACCAGUUUAGCCUAAGUUGUGAUCUGACUCGCAUUUUCCAAGCGACCAAGAACGAAAUAUUGAACAUCUGCAAAUAGGUCUUUAGGUAUCUGUUUAGGCAUGAACGUAUUGUUGGGUACAAAUCAAGGGUUGAACAUAGUGGAGAGAGAGAGAAAGAAGGUGAGUGGCGCCAUCAGAGUGAGUUAAGUUCCACAAUGCUUCCAUGAAGCUUUCAGAAAUUGGAACGACUUGCAUGUUGCAUCAUUUCACACACAUCAUCGGAGCUCAUUGAAACACAUAUUCUCAUCAAACAACAAAACAAGUAUUAGGCUGCUAGUGCCUAAAAUCCAUUAGGGUUUCUACUUCCAACUUUUUUCUUUUUUUUUCAUUUUAAAAAGGGGUUGGUUGAGGAUAUGGUGUUGGGGCCUUACUUUCCGCUCGACCUUCCUCCGGUGGGUCUGGCCUCUUAUCAACUUUGGGGGUGUGGGGAUGGGCGCCCACAAGACCCAAUUAGUGUCCUAAAUGUAGCUCUCCUGUAAGAGUAAAUACAUUGUGUAUCUUCUGCAAGACAAGCCCAGAGAAACCUCGGAAACAAUGAAACACAAACUUCUGCUGCUGUGGUACGAGUGUGAUAUUAUCCUUAGCUGAGGAAAGGAGCAUAGAUAAUCUAGAAAGCUAUAUGGUCCCAUUUGUCUUUUUUGGCAGUAAAUCCUGGGAAAAGUGGACUAUCAUGGUUGGAUCAAGGGACAAAUAAUCUGCAAGUCCGGAUGAGGAACCAAUGUUCAAAUACUUGAGUGCCAAAAUACCCGGCUCCUUUGUUCAAAGCUAAAGCAGAGUCAAGUCUUGAGGUCUUGCAGCGUUAGCAAAACCAGGACACGGUUGAUGGAACCAUCUCCACAACAGCAUGUCGAAGUUCAGGUACCGGAGAGUAAGAGAUUGAAGGGAAAGAGAGCAAGGUUGUACAUAAUUCGUCGUUGCAUAUUCAUGCUGCUUUGUUGGAAGGAUCAGGGAGACGGAAAUAAUCGGUAAAGUUGAACAUUCGUGCCAAAUGUUACUUUGAGCAUUUAGAUUACAACAAAACUAUGCAAUAUUUGUAUAAGAAUCAGAUAGCAUGAGCUAAAUAGAGAGAUUCACUUGCUAUAAAUGCUAAAGAAGGUAACAGAAAUACAAGUCUCUCUCUUCGAUUUUCUCCUUUUUCUUAGCAGAUU